rnacentral:rRNA from 1 species
CUCUGUGACUCCUACGGGAGGCAGCAGUGGGGAAUAUUGCACAAUGGGGGGAAACCCUGAUGCAGCCAUGCCGCGUGUGUGAAGAAGGCCUUCGGGUUGUAAAGCACUUUCAGUAGGGAGGAAGGUAGUGUAGUUAACACCUGCAUUAUUUGACGUUACCUACAGAAGAAGCACCGGCUAACUCCGUGCCAGCAGCCGCGGUAAUACGGAGGGUGCGAGCGUUAAUCGGAAUUACUGGGCGUAAAGCGCAUGCAGGCGGCCUGUUAAGUCAGAUGUGAAAGCCCCGGGGCUUAACCUCGGAAUUGCAUUUGAAACUGGCAGGCUAGAGUCUUGUAGAGGGGGUAGAAUUUCAGGUGUAGCGGUGAAAUGCGUAGAGAUCUGAAGGAAUACCAGUGGCGAAGGCGGCCCCCUGGACAAAGACUGACGCUCAGAUGCGAAAGCGUGGGGAGCAAACACGGAUUAGAUACCCUGGUAG